rnacentral:snoRNA from 1 species
AAGAAAACCAUCUCAAAUUAAAAUAUAUGAAAUAUUGCACUAGGUUUCUAAAGGAAAUAAUCCCUGUACUUCCUGUCUGUCUUUAUUGUGGCCCAGAUUGAAUUGAGGAAUGUAUCU